GUAGAGACAGUGGGAUUACUCGGUUUUUAUUGAGCAGAAAUGGCAUCAGCUGAAGUUAUCUCAAAUCAGAGUGUGGUGGAGCGGGUGACCAGCCUCCCUCUGGUGAUCUCCACCUACGACCUGGUUUCCAGCUUGUACUCCAACACCAAAGACAACCACCCGUACAUCAGGACGGUGUGCGAGGCUGCCGAGCACGGAGUCCGCUCCCUCACCUCCGUGGCCCUCACCACCGCCUCGCCCAUCAUCGACAAGCUGGAGCCUCAGCUUGCCAUUGCCAACGACCUGGCCUGUAAGGGUUUGGACAAGAUUGAGAAAACUCUGCCGAUUCUCCACCAGCCCUCAGAUCAGAUCGUUUCCAGCGCCAAGGAUGUGGUAACUACCGCCAAGGAUGUCAUGACGGGCCGAGUGUCCGACGCCAAGGGCACCGUCUCGGACACCCUGACCAGCGUGGUGGGCGCGGUGCAGGACGGCGUGGAGAAGACCAGGGCCGUGGUCAGCGGGAGCGUGAGCACGGUGCUGGAAAGCAAAGUGGCCCAGCUGGUGAGCAGCGGCGUGGACACGGCCCUCAGCACCUCCGAGAGUCUGGUGGAGCAGUAUUUGCCUCUGACGGAGGGCGAACUGGAGAUGGAGGCCAGAACGGAGAAGGGCGCCAAGCAGCCGAGCUACUACGUCCGCCUGGGCUGCCUCUCCACCAAGCUCCGCAAGAGAGCGUACACCAGAGCCGUGGCCAGGAUACAGGAGGGCAAGCAGCGCAGCAUGGAGUUCAUUUCUGAGCUCAACUCCACCUUUGAGCGGAUUGAAUAUCGCAGAAAGAACCCCAACAGUUCCCGUCAGGAGCAGGUUCAGGACGCAGAGGUCAUCGAGUCUCGCACCUUGGCCCUGGCACAUUCCCUCACCCAGCAGCUCCAGACCACCUGCCUGGUGCUGGUCUCCGGCCUGCAGGGUCUCCCCAACAACAUCCAGCAGGAGGCGCUCUCCCUCACACACUCCGCCGCGCAGGUCUACGGCAACUUCCGCAAAGCCAAGGUGCUGGGAGACCUUCCGGACAGCGUGUUGUCCAGCAGCAAAGCCCAGCUACGCAAAAUUAAAGACUCCCUGGACAACGUGAUGGAUUACCUGAUCAACAACACGCCGCUCAACUGGCUGGUGGGUCCCUUCUACCCCCGCCCCGAACCCGCACCCGCCCGAACGUCCACCUCCACCGCGUCCUCCAGCUCUGCUUCCACUCGGCCGCUCAGGGAGGAGCCCAUGGAGGUGGAGAUGGAGUCGCUGAGACCCCCGCAGGAGGAGCAGGAGGAGCACUGAUCCAGCUUCAUAUUCAGAGUUUUAUUAUAUUUUAACGAUUUCACUCUUUUUUUAAAUUAACGCUGAAUGCAGCAGGAUUCAGUUUUUACUUCAUCUUCUUGCAUCAAGUACAAAAAAUGUGAGAUUUGUCAAUUCUUUGCACUGUUUUGUAAUUGAGACAUUUUCCAGCCAAUCUGGCAAAACUUGAGCCAGUUGAAUUUCUACAUAAAGUCUCCUGAAACACAAAG